UUCCUACGGGGGGCUGCAGUGGGGAAUUUUGCGCAAUGGGGGCAACCCUGACGCAGCAACGCCGCGUGAGUGAUGAAGGCUUUCGGGUCGUAAAGCUCUGUCGGGAGGGAAGAAAUGAGUAGCGGUUAAUACCCGUUAUUCUUGACGGUACCUCCGAAGGAAGCACCGGCUAACUCCGUGCCAGCAGCCGCGGUAAUACGGAGGGUGCAAGCGUUGUUCGGAUUUAUUGGGCGUAAAGCGCGUGUAGGCGGGUUGUGAAGUCUGAUGUGAAAGCCCCGGGCUCAACCUGGGAAGUGCAUUGGAAACUGGCAGACUUGAAUACGGGAGAGGGUAGUGGAAUUCCUAGUGUAGGAGUGAAAUCCGUAGAUAUUAGGAGGAACACCGGUGGCGAAGGCGGCUACCUGGACCGAUAUUGACGCUGAGACGCGAAAGCGUGGGGAGCAAACAGGAUUAGAUACCCGGGUAGUCC
rnacentral:rRNA from 1 species